AUUGAACGCUGGCGGAAUGCUUUACACAUGCAAGUCGAACGGCAGCACGGACUUCGGUCUGGUGGCGAGUGGCGAACGGGUGAGUAAUACAUCGGAACGUGCCCAGUCGUGGGGGAUAACGUAGCGAAAGCUACGCUAAUACCGCAUACGAUCUAAGGAUGAAAGCGGGGGAUCGCAAGACCUCGCGCGAUUGGAGCGGCCGAUGGCGGAUUAGGUAGUUGGUAGGGUAAAGGCCUACCAAGCCGACGAUCUGUAGCUGGUCCGAGAGGACGACCGACCACACUGGGACUGAGCCACGGCCCAGACGCCUACGGGAGGCAGCAGUGGGGAAUUUUGGACAAUGGACGCAAGUCUGAUCCAGCCAUUCCGCGUGCAGGAUGAAGGCCCUCGGGUUGUAAACUGCUUUUGUACAGAACGAAAAGGCUCUGGUUAAUACCUGGAGCUCAUGACGGUACUGUAAGAAUAAGCACCGGCUAACUACGUGCCAGCCGCCGCCGUAA
rnacentral:rRNA from 1 species